GGUGACGAGUGGCGGACGGGUGAGUAAUGUCUGGGAAACUGCCCGAUGGAGGGGGAUAACUACUGGAAACGGUAGCUAAUACCGCAUAACGUCGCAAGACCAAAGUGGGGGACCUUCGGGCCUCACACCAUCGGAUGUGCCCAGAUGGGAUUAGCUAGUAGGUGGGGUAAUGGCUCACCUAGGCGACGAUCCCUAGCUGGUCUGAGAGGAUGACCAGCCACACUGGAACUGAGACACGGUCCACACUCCUACGGGAGGCAGCAGUGGGGAAUAUUGCACAAUGGGCGCAAGCCUGAUGCAGCCAUGCCGCGUGUAUGAAGAAGGCCUUCGGGUUGUAAAGUACUUUCAGCGGGGAGGAAGGCGAUAAGGUUAAUAGCCUUGUCGAUUGACGUUACCCGCAGAAGAAGCACCGGCUAACUCCGUGCCAGCAGCCGCGGUAAUACGGAGGGUGCAAGCGUUAAUCGGAAUUACUGGGCGUAAAGCGCACGCAGGCGGUCUGUCAAGUCGGAUGUGAAAUCCCCGGGCUUAACCUGGGAACUGCAUUCGAAACUGGCAGGCUAGAGUCUUGUAGAGGGGGGUAGAAUUCCAGGUGUAGCGGUGAAAUGCGUAGAGAUCUGGAGGAAUACCGGUGGCGAAGGCGGCCCCCUGGACAAAGACUGACG
rnacentral:rRNA from 1 species